GGGAGGGUGAGGGGUUUCACCGUUUGCCUGUACUCCAACGGGAGUUCGGCUUCGCGAACCUCCAAGGGCUUCGCUAACCACUCACCCUCCCAUC
rnacentral:sRNA from 1 species